GAUGAAGAACGUAGUGAAAUGCGAUAAGUAAUGUGAAUUGCAGAAUUCAGUGAAUCAUCGAGUCUUUGAACGCACAUUGCGCCCCCUGGUAUUCCGGGGGGCAUGCCUGUCCGAGCGUCAUUGCUGCCCUCAAGCACGGCUUGUGUGCUGGGCCCCGUCCCCCCCGCCGGGGGGACGGGCCCGAAAGGCAGCGGCGGCACCGCGUCCGGUCCUCGAGCGUAUGGGGCUUCGUCACCCGCUCUAGUAGGCCCGGCCGGCGCCAGCCGACCCCCAACCUUUAAUUAUCUCAGGUUGACCUCGGAUCAGGUAGGGAUACCCGCUGAACUUAAGCAUAUCAAUAAGCGGAGGA
rnacentral:misc_RNA from 1 species